GACGAACGCUGGCGGCGUGCCUAAUACAUGCAAGUAGAACGCUGAAGCGAGGAGCUUGCUCUUCUUGGAUGAGUUGCGCACGGGUGAGUAACGCGUAGGUAACCUGCCUUGUAGCGGGGGAUAACUAUUGGAAACGAUAGCUAAUACCGCAUAACAAUGGAUGACACAUGUCAUUUAUUUGAAAGGGGCAAUUGCUCCACUACAAGAUGGACCUGCGUUGUAUUAGCUAGUAGGUGAGGUAAUGGCUCACCUAGGCGACGAUACAUAGCCGACCUGAAAGGGUGAUCGGCCAAACUGGGACUGAGACACGGCCCAGACUCCUACGGGAGGCAGCAGUAGGGAAACUUCGGCAAUGGGGGCAAACCUGACCGAGCAACGCCGCGGGAGUGAAGAAGGGUUUCGGAUCGUAAAGCUCUGUUGUAAGUGAAGAAAGGGUGUGAGAGUGGAAAGUUCACACUGUGACGGUAGCUUAACAGAAAGGGACGGCUAACUACGUG
rnacentral:rRNA from 1 species